rnacentral:rRNA from 1 species
UCAGAAUGAACGCUGGCGGCAUGCCUAACACAUGCAAGUCGAACGAAACCUUCGGGUUUAGUGGCGCACGGGUGCGUAACGCGUGGGAAUCUGCCCCUUGGUUCGGAAUAACAGUUGGAAACGACUGCUAAUACCGGAUGAUGACGUAAGUCCAAAGAUUUAUCGCCGAGGGAUGAGCCCGCGUAGGAUUAGGUAGUUGGUGUGGUAAAGGCGCACCAAGCCGACGAUCCUUAGCUGGUCUGAGAGGAUGAUCAGCCACACUGGGACUGAGACACGGCCCAGACUCCUACGGGAGGCAGCAGUGGGGAAUAUUGGACAAUGGGCGAAAGCCUGAUCCAGCAAUGCCGCGUGAGUGAUGAAGGCCUUAGGGUUGUAAAGCUCUUUUACCCGGGAUGAUAAUGACAG